AUUGAACGCUGGCGGCAUGCCUUACACAUGCAAGUCGAACGGCAGCACGGGAGCAAUCCUGGUGGCGAGUGGCGAACGGGCGAGUAAUAUAUCGGAACGUGCCCGGUCGUGGGGAUAACGUAGCGAAAGCUACGCUAAUACCGCAUACGAUCUACGGAUGAAAGCGGGGGAUCGCAAGACCUCGCGCGAUUGGAGCGGCCGAUAUCAGAUUAGGUAGUUGGUGAGGUAAAGGCUCACCAAGCCGACGAUCUGUAGCUGGUCUGAGAGGACGACCAGCCACACUGGGACUGAGACACGGCCCAGACUCCUACGGGAGGCAGCAGUGGGGAAUUUUGGACAAUGGGCGCAAGCCUGAUCCAGCAAUGCCGCGUGCAGGAUGAA
rnacentral:rRNA from 1 species